AUACAUGGAGAAAGGCUGCUUGGGAACUGAGUCAACCACGACGAAAGCUGAUCUGAGAUGGGAGAAAAGGUUCGUAUUGCUCGGCCCUGAGCUUCCGGAUCUGGCCUCACCUGAAGCAGGCCUACCCCUGGCAACACACGAGUCAGUAAAGGCCCUGUCGGGAACUGGGCUUCUGGCACCUGCAGCUGAGUUCCUUCAAAUACAUGCUGUUCUGAAAUUACUCUGGGCUGUGACUGCUGAACAGAAAACAAUGGAGAACACUGGCAACCUCCUGUUGAAACUGAUUCAACUGCCACAUUGGAUAAUUAAUACAUUUCAAUGCAAUUUAUUCAUAUUCUCUGUCUACAAGCAUCAAAUUAAUGAGGUCCCUCUGAGACAUAGGGCUUCCCAGGUGGCUCAGUGGUAAAGAAACCGCCUGCAAUGCAGAAGACAUAGGAGACGCGGGUUUGACCCCUGGAUCAGAAAGAUGCCCUGGAGAAGGAAAUGGCGAUCUGCUCCAGUAUUCUUGCCAGAAAAGUCCCAUGACCAGAGGAGCCUUGCGGACUAGAGCCCAUGGAGUCACAGAGUCGGGCAUGACUGAGCAUCUGGGCAUUCACCGAGACAUGACGUGGAUCAGUCUUCAUAUGAUAAAAGUCAGCGUUAGAAGAACACAACGUUUUUAUUUUCUUAAGACUAAAAUUGACUUUAAGGAUAGAAAAGGCUUCUAGGUUUUCUGGGAGCCCUGAGA
ensembl:lncRNA